AUUCAAAAAGUACAUACCUCAAAGAAAACGAUGACGCGAGUUAUCGUCUCUAACGUUCGAGGACUACAAAAAACACUCGGAUUGUAGGCAACAGUUUACUUCCUGGGAUUAGUUACGUAGAUAAGACCAACAUUAUCAUAGUUCAGCCCUCUCUGCUUUGCUUGGGUACGCCCUCAAAGACGAGGGUGGGGAGCGCCGAGUCAGAAGAGAGCUAAAAUGGCGGAGGUUGUGAGUCCCUGCUUUGACUCUGUUUGCAAACUCUUGUUUCAUUGUUUAAGCGAUUAAAUCUCUCGAGUAGACGCUGUCUCUUUAGAUGCGAGGGAAAAUAGCACUUUAUGGACUUCCACAGAGGACAUCAUGUUUAAUACGGUUCCGGAAAAAUCCAGUCAGAAGUUGUUCACGGAGUUUUCACAAUAACUGCUUCUCAUGAACCGAAGCUGGAUUUGCGCGACGUCUCCUCUUGAAAGUUGGAUUACUGUGCACUUCUGGAUCACAGACUAUUCGCAGCUGUACACAUCCUUCUACACUGUAUGCAAACAUGCAACAUCAUAACACACAGUACAAGGAGUCAGACUGGCAUAUGAGGAGCAAAGGAACCCAGACAGUAGCAUCGUUUCACAAUGUUUCCAUCAUCAUCAUCAGUGGAUGCCUUUGCCGUCCGUAGCCUGAGAUUUCAGAUUUGCAGCAAAAAAAAAAUGAUUUUCUCAUUUAUUGGAAUGCUGUGCAGGUAUUUGUACCUUGCAGCCAUCCAUUACAACGUCACCAAGCCGUAACAAAAGCAGGAGAGGGAAAGUACAAGGCUAUGUUCCCAAAACACACAAGUGACAUACCUUAUGUGGAGGAUGUGAUCAGGCUUGUGUUUGAUGAGGUAUUUGAAGAUAAGCUGAAGGAAACCCCGAUUCCAAUGGACCUGGCAUCACAGUUUGAGAGACCUUCAAAGGAGGACGUGAUUGCAUGCCAUCUUCAGUGCAGGGGUCGUCGAAAGCCAAAAUUGUGACCGAUCUGAUCAGGAAGCUCCAAGCGUAUCUGGAGAACAACACACGACAGGAUGAUAACCUAAUAGUGUCGUCUUAGAUAGCACCAGCUGACAAAGCUUUGAUAUGCCAUUUAUCUGAAUAGAUAGCUGUAAGAAAUGAAUUGAACAAUUUUUGAAACAAGAGCACAAUAUGGUUACUAAAGUAUGUUUAUUUGUAUAUUGUUUAACAUUUAAAUAUAUAUUUGUAAUAAAUAAAAAAAACUUUUGACUGACUAUUA